GUUGAGGUGGCAGAGCCCGGACAGUGCAGAAGACCUAAGCCCUUCUUACAGAGGUUCAAGUCCUCUCCUCAACU
rnacentral:tRNA from 1 species